CCUACGGGAGGCAGCAGUAGGGAAUUUUCGGCAAUGGGGGGAACCCUGACCGAGCAACGUCGCGUGAAGGAAGAAGGAAUUCGUUCUGUAAACUUCUGUUAUAAAGGAAGAAAGACGGAUGGAGGAAAUGACAUCUGAGUGACGGUACUCUAUGAGAAAGCCACGGUAAACUACGUGCCAGCAGCCGCGGUAAUACGUAGGUGGCAAGUGUGAUCCGGAUUGAUUGGGCGAAAAGAGGGAGCAGGGGGCAGCUAAGGUCUGUGGUGAAAGACUGAAGCUUAACUUCAGUAAGCCAUAGAAACCGGGCGGCUAGAGUGCAGGAGAGGAUCGUGGAAUUCCAUGUGUAGCGGUGAAAUGCGUAGAUAUCAGGAGGAACACCGGUGGCGAAGGCACUUUACUGGGCCGUGAUUGACGCUGAGGAACGAAAGCCAGGGUAGCAAAUGGGAUUAGAUACCCUGGUAGUC
rnacentral:rRNA from 1 species